GACAGAGGCCUCAAGCAUUUAGGCGGAAGUCACUGGGCUUAAAGCGUGUGUAGGCGGAUCGUUAAGUGUCUUGUGAAAUCCCACGGCUCACCCGUGGAACUGGCUGGGCAUACUGGCGAUCUUGGGCCAACUAGGGGCAACUGGAACAAGCGGUGGAGCGGUGAAAUGCGUAGAUAUCGGCUUGGAACGCCGGAAGGUGAAAACAGGUUGCUGGGGUUGUGC
rnacentral:rRNA from 1 species